GACGAACGCUGGCGGCGUGCUUAACACAUGCAAGUCGAACGGAAAGGCCCUGCUUUUGUGGGGUGCUCGAGUGGCGAACGGGUGAGUAACACGUGAGUACCCUGCCCUUGCCUUUGGGAUAACUUCAGGAAACUGGGGCUAAUCCCGGAUAGGAGCUCCUCCUGCAUGGGGGGGGUUGGAAAGUUUCGGCGGUUGGGGAUGGACUCGCGGCUUAUCAGCUUGUUGGUGGGGUAGUGGCUUACCAAGGCUUUGACGGGUAGCCGGCCUGAGAGGGUGACCGGCCACAUUGGGACUGAGAUACGGCCCAGACUCCUACGGGAGGCAGCAGUGGGGAAUAUUGCACAAUGGGCGGAAGCCUGAUGCAGCAACGCCGCGUGCGGGAUGACGGCCUUCGGGUUGUAAACCGCUUUCGCCUGUGACGAAGCGUGAGUGACGGUAAUGGGUAAAGAAGCACCGGCUAACUACGUG
rnacentral:rRNA from 1 species